GAAUACAAUGUGCAUCAUAUGAACUUAUCCAGAAUAUAUUAUGUAAGCAUUCUGAAGCAAAUUGGUACACAUACCCAAGGUUGCCAACGCCGUUAAUAGGCUUCAGAAGUUGCAAUUGAUGUUGUUGUACCUCCCUACUGAGGUUCAAUUUGCUACAAGGGCUGCACAUGACCACCCUCCAUCACUAUUGCUGCAGUAAUUGGGGUUCCAUUUCCCUCAAUUAACCGCCACAUAUACCGUGCCCCAAUCGAUCGGUAUAGCCUUCAUUUCCCACACAAUUGUUCCAUUUGCGACGGUCUUGGCAAUUCCUCUAACCCAUACAACAUUCUCACUCCUUCCAACAUAGAAAGGCCUUGGCACAUUUCGCUAGCACACAAUCAGAGUAUAUAUCUCACAAAAGUCACAAGAAAGAAAUAUUAUACUAUAUCAAAAACAAAAUAUCUCAACCGUAUAAUUCGAUAUCAAUCUCGGUCUUUCAAUGUCAAGCUCCAGUUCAGGUUUCAAAUCAGGAUCCGAUUGGAAGUCUCAGUGGCAGAUUUCAUAAUUAAAGAGGAAUUAGAGGACGGAGAUUAAGAAAUACCUGCUAACUCAUCUUCAUCCCAUUCCUCAAAGGACAUCGACGCAGGCUUCGGGUUGGACGGCGAGAUGUAACUUGAGUGGCCACUAAGGGAGGAAGACAGAGGUGUUGUGCGGCGGAGAUGGGUUCAUCGAGGUCAACAAAUUUGUCGAUAUCAUCGACGUCGAGAAUCAAAGUCAUAACACUCAAUAGUCAAUGGACUGUCCUGCAUUUGUUCAAAUGUUAUUGAUAUCAUAAUACAGUUUCUUGACAUACCCGAAGAAUGGUUAUUAUUUAGAAGAUUCAUCCCCAGCAAUUUAGUAAGAUUAUUAGCGGUACAGGCCCUUUCAAAGCUAUAGAUGACUACUGUAAUGUGAGAACCUUCGAUUGUAUUCCGCAAUGGGCAAUACAUGAAACACUUCUGAAGAAUUCCGCUAAUAUAUUAUUUAACUAGCUAAUAAAAUCAGAAAGUAUCAUAUUACAUUAAAGAGCAAAGAAAAGGGCAGCCUGGUGCACUAAGCAUCCCACAUUCAUGCAAGGUUCGGGGAACAACCGCACCCCUAAGGGAUGUGAUGUCGGAAUGUUACCCUGAUGCAGCAUCAGUGGCUGAUUCCACAGAUCGAACUCGUGACCUAUAGGUCACACGGAGACAACUUUAUAUUACUCUAAGGCUACCCUUCAGAUUUUUACUGCAGACAUGGAGCAAGCUAACACAACUUGUAACAUGAAUGGAGUAUAUAUCUCACUGAUGAUUUGGAUUUGAAAGCUUAUCCAUUUCUAGAUCUAAACUCAACUUAUAUGAUGUAGACCUGACACAGGGAAAAUACAUUACUGUUGACUAGGACAAAGAUCUUUUGAACUCAAGUAGAUAUAUAUCUGUGGAUUCAAUCUAGAAAAUUCAUAACCCCCCCACCAUAAAGGCCAUAAUAUCAUAUAAGACUUUCUUAAGGUAACUAGCUAAUUUAUGCAGAUUGCUGUCUUGAAUCGCACCGAAUACAUGACACUCGUGCAAAACAAAACAUUUGUAGGACACCGAAUACACUUAACCUUUCUCGACGUAAAAAUCAUUAAUAUACAAUAAUAGACAAUUUUAUUUACUCUGCAAUUGAAUCAUAAUGUGUGGCGAAUACAAUGUGCAUCAUAUGAACUUAUCCAGAAUAUAUUAUGUAAGCAUUCUGAAGCAAAUUGGUACACAUACCCAAGGUUGCCAACGCCGUUAAUAGGCUUCAGAAGUUGCAAUUGAUGUUGUUGUACCUCCCUACUGAGGUUCAAUUUGCUACAAGGGCUGCACAUGACCACCCUCCAUCACUAUUGCUGCAGUAAUUGGGGUUCCAUUUCCCUCAAUUAACCGCCACAUAUACCGUGCCCCAAUCGAUCGGUAUAGCCUUCAUUUCCCACACAAUUGUUC
rnacentral:lncRNA from 1 species